CUAACGGGGAGAUCAGCAUCAGAAAGGUGCACGAGUUUUUGAUGCGCUACUCUAUAUCGAACAUGGUUCUUGCCUUUUACCAGAACCAUCCGGGUGUUGUCUCUUCCAGAGAUAAGGUGUUGCACUUCACAUUUUUUGGAACCUUUUCUUCGUCUCAUUA